GACCAGUUGUCAGGAUGUGGAGAACACAGCUGAACGCUGGCAGCUGCUGGACAGCCUAAGGCUCUAGUGGGGGAUUUAGGCAAACCUCUGUCUGACUCAGGGGUUGAGCUAUGAGGCUCUAGAAAAAAAAUGAACUCAAGAGACAUCCCAAGCACUAAGGAGUCCGUGCCACCGCCUUCGACGCCGGCACACACCAUGGUGGGCAACACUCGACCCGGGUAGUCCUUGUUGCAAGAUGCUUCAGAGAUAAUGCUGAUGUUGGCACAAUGCAACGUAUCAGGGAGUCUCACUGAGGAGGACAGAUGGCUUUGAGUAUAUUUAAUUCCUUUGGUUCUUGUUCCCUCCAUUCAAGAACCCCUGGGGACAACAUUGCUGGAAUUUCUAUCUCCAGUUCCAUCCUUCCACUCACCGUGUGACUUCUGGCUCCCUGUGGCUCCAGGGUUGUUGUCUGAUAACAGACCCCAGCCUGACACCACGCAGUCCUCACCGAUAAGAGGGCAACGUCUGGGCAGCGCCACAGGACGCACGUAGGCUGUCAGCCGGGCAGGUUUGAAAAGUCGCAACAGCAUAAUGUCAUGGCGGUGGGUGCGAGCCUCGUAGCCCGGAUGUGGAAUGAUGCGAGAGACGGAGCGCAGUUGCUCUGGACCAUCGAACUUGCGGAGAUUGUGCUCACCCAGGCGCACUCUCAUGAAGCUGUGUGAUCGAGUAGGAGGAGACAAAGUGGUCAGAGAAGAUAACCUGGGAUCUUCGGAGAACUUUCUCCUUUUCUCAAGUCCUUGAAGCCAGUGGUUCCAACCGUGACCUCUCCAGAGCCCAGGAGUUUCACGGGGUGUGAUGGUUCAUGCCUUUAACCCCAACACUUGGGAGGCAGAGGCAGGGGGAUUUCUCUAAGUUGUGGACCAGCUUGGUCUACACGGUGAGUUCUAGAGCAAACUGGGUUGCACAGUCAAAACAAACAAAAAACAAACUAACAAACU
ensembl:antisense